rnacentral:lncRNA from 1 species
CUCCAACCUCUAAUAUAAUUCUUAGCUUUCUCCAGUGCUUUGAAUUCAGAUGCCAACUCCUCCAAGUCUUAAAUGAUAUCCUCCCUAUAUCACUCAGGCUGCAAGUGUAAGCAAGGGUCACUUACUGACCCAGUACCAAUCCUGAUUACUAAGGAAGGUUUAAUCUGUUCUCUUUUCUUACCUAGACCUAUUUACCCCUUCUUAGACAGCUCUGGUGACCCUCCUCUCCCAGGAAACUCACCAUAUUGUUGCUAAGAUUAGUGAGGAUAUUUGAUUAGCUUUAACUCUGUUGCUUUGAUUAGCUUUAACUCUCUUUAUUUGAUUAUUUGAUAUCUGAUUAGCUUUAACUCUAACUCUCUCUUUAGAACUCACAAAUCAGCUUUAGCUUCUUCAGGAGUUGCAGGGACCAGAUAUCCGCCAACAUUCCUGAUCCUUUAAAGAUUUUCAAGCAUAGUGGUGACAUGAGGCUAAAAUCAGAUUAUAUUAGGUAGUAGUGAAGAUGAAUGGAAUGGGAAAAAGGGUAAGAAACAGGGAGAAGUUAGCUUUAGGUGACAAGUGUCUGGAUGAAGUAACAGCAAGAAUGAAUGGUGAAGGGCUAGAUGUGAUAUAUUUCAGAGGAACAAUUUUUAAGACUUGGUGCCUAGGUCUAGGUCACAAGACAGUAAAGCCCAUUAUAAUAAAGUAUUUCAGUGAUUGGAAGAAUGCUGGCAUUUAUUGAUAGAAAUAGGAAAAUUAAGGUUCCAGGGGGAAAUGGCAAUUUCUUUUUGAGGCAUUUUAAAAUUAAAGUGAUGGUAAAACAUUAAGAUUUUACUGCAAAGGAAGGAAAAGACCAGAACUCUGUCAGAUGUACAUCGUCUUUUACAGAGGUUAUGUUGGAAAUUAGGAGAAUCAGUUCACCAAGGGAAUGCAGAAAAAAAUAGGAGAGGGCUAAGUACACCGAGUAUUGGGGAAUAGCCAGAUUUGAGGCAGUGAAAGGCGGCAGAAGGCAGAACAAAAAGAGUGCAAAUUUCAAGGGAGAAGGGUUUUAAUAAGUGGAUGAUCAGAUAACAUAAAUUAACAUGCUUACAAUAAUAACUACACAGCUAAACUAUGACAUCUCCCCUGAAGCACUAAUCAAUCUCCAAAUUAGCAUUGGGUCUAGGUCAAAUCAAAUAAGACACUAAACCAAAUCGCAAUCUUCUUGAGAAGUGUUGGGAUAUGGUGGAGAGGACUAGCUUUGAAAAAAUUGGGUUCAAAUGUAGCCUCUGAGACACUUCCAAAAUAAGUGACCAGGGUGAGCAACUUAAACCUUAGUUAACCCUGGCCAUUCAGGAAUGACUCUUAAGAUUUAGAAAUUAUGGAAUUAUUUUGGAUUCUUUGGAUUACAUGGAGGAUUCCCUGGUCUUUUAGCUCUUUGUGGCAGCUGAGUAGUAUAAAGAAUAGGGUAUUGGAUAGGAAGUCAGGAAGAGGUAGGAAAUCAAAUCCUCCAUCUAGUGUUUUUUUUGUUUUUUUUUUUUUGAGGCAGAUAGUGGAUGGAACACUUGCUUCAAGUCCAAAAAAUGUAAGGUCAAAUCCUUUGAAAUUUACUAGCUGUGUGAGCCAGAACAAGUUACUUAAAUUUCCUGAUCUAUAAAAUGAAGGGGUUGGUAUACAUACCCUUUAAAGUUCCUUCUUACUCUUAAUCUUUGGAUUUCCCCUAUUGACUUUUGAGUUUUCACUGUCCAUUUGUUUAGUCAUAUUUACUGCAAGCCAGUAUUGGUAUAAUAACAUUUUACCAUAUCCUGAUUUAGACUCCAAGACACUGCAGUAGCAGUAACACCAUCCACAAAACAAAACCUCCUUCCUUUUCCUCUAGAAACCAGAAAGGGUUUUCUUCCUCCUCUCUAAUAAUUGCUUUGGACUAUUUCCUCCUUUGCCCUCAAAAUGUUGGCUUCUCUAAGGUUGGUUUUGUAGGUAGCAUUUCCUGAUCCUAAACUUUUUGCUCACCCAUCAUCUAAUCAUAGCUAUAUCCCAGAACAGCCUGAUUUCCUUAAAUACUCUGAGAAGUGUUAAGACUUCUUUCCAGUUGUUUAGAGUAAAAAAAAAAAAGGUAUUAUGACCCCUGAGAAAGGAAAGAAAUAGGAUGAACGGGAUGGGUUCUCCAGCUAGCCACCAAAAAGAAAGAACUUAAACCAAGUUGUUACUGUUACCUUUUUCUUAGUUUCUGUAAGAAAUGGAAGCAUCUACAUAUAAUUCUGGGCCUAUUUUAGGCCUCCAGUCAUGCUAGAAUAAUACUUGAGUCCAGCAGUGUCUCUCCUGAGUCUGUAUCCCAAAUAUCAUAAAAAAGGGAAAAGGAUCUACAUGUGCAAAAAUGUUUGUAGCAGGCCUUUUAAUAAUUGCAAGAAACUGGAAACUAAGUAAAUGCCCAUCAAUUGGGGAAUGGCUGAAUAAGUUAUGGUAUAUGAAUGUUAUGGAAUAUUAUUGUUUUAUGAGAAAUAAUCAGCAGACUGAUUUUAGAGGUCUCUACAUGAACUGAUGCUAAAUAAAUGAGCAUAACUAAGAGAACAUUGUUCAUGACAACAAAAAUACAUGAUCAACUGUAAUGGACUUAGCUCUUUUCAACAAUGAAGUGAUUCAGGUCAAUUCCAAUACACUUUGUGAUGGAGAGAGCCAUCUGCACCCAGACAGAAGACAAUGGGGACUGCAAGUGGUUCACAAUAUAGUCUUUCCCUGUUUGUUGUUGUUUGCUUGUCUUUUUUUCCUCCUCUGUUUAAUCUGAUUUUUUUUGUGCAGUAUGAUAAAUGUAGACAUGUUUAGAAGAAUUGUACAUGUUUAACCUAUAUUGCAUCACUUGCUGUCUAAAGGAGGAGGGAGAAAGAAAAAUAUUAGAACACAAGGUUUUGCAAGGGUGAAUGUUGAAAACUGUCUUUGCAUGUAUUUUGAAAAAGAAAAAGCUAUUAUUAAAAAAAGGAAAAAGCUAUUACUACCUCCCCCGAAAAGGGGAAAAAAAAUACAAUAAUGCUUGGAUCUUCCCAAUUCCCCUUUCAAUGGAUUUUUUUUGCCAGCAGCUCUCAUUGGGUAAUUGACUUAGAAUUGGAAGGGAUUUUAGAAAUUAUGCAGUUCAGCCCACUCAUUUGAAAAAUGAGGAAACUGAGGCAGAGCUAAGAUGGCACAGAGUAGACAGGAUUUUGCUUUGGUUCUUUCUGACUUCCCUCAGAAUCAACAUUAGAUCAAGCCUUUGAACAAAUUUUGGAGUGACAGAACCCACAAAUAUUUGGAGUGUAACAAAUUUCCAACAGAAGAUAUUUUGGAAGGACUUCAGAAGAAGUCUGUCUCAAUUGGGCAGAGGGGGAUGUUGCCCAGUGCAAGGAGAGCAAAGGCCCCGCAUGGGAAAACAUAAUAGGAGGCUCUUAGCCAAAAUACAGGAGCAUUGGCUGCUCUUUCCUUGUUCAGAAGACCAGUGGAUCAGCAGAUUAGCUGUGAGACCUCCAACAUAAGUACAGAAGGCAAAGAAUGAGCUCCCAAAUCCCAGCAAAACAGGUAAGAUUUGGCCAGGCCCACUGAGUGCAGUGGAAAAGCCCAUAGAAGCUCUUGUUGCUCUGUAGAGGAAAUUCAGGACAAUCUCCCCUGUGCCCUAGGAGCAAACUUCAAUCUUUAAAAGUAAGCAAAAAAGCAAAAAGAGUUCUGCCCACAGAUAGCCAUUAUGGAGGCAGGGAACUGAAAUCUUGAGGAAACUAAAGGCAAAAUGCCUCUAUAUGAAAUUUCAAAGGAGAUAUGAACUGGUCUCCAUCUCAAAAGGCUCUCUUGAUCAAAAAGAAUCUUAAAAGAGAGAAGAAAAAUCAGGAAAGCAAAUGAGAGCUUUGCAGGAGUUUGGAAAAGGAAACAAAAAUUAAUUGAAGAAAACAACCCCCUAAAAAAUAGAAUUAG